AACGAACGCUGGCGGCAUGCCUAACACAUGCAAGUCGAACGAGACCUUCGGGUCUAGUGGCGCACGGGUGCGUAACGCGUGGGAACCUGCCCUUAGGUUCGGAAUAACUCCCCGAAAGGGGUGCUAAUACCGGAUAAUGUCUUCGGACCAAAGAUUUAUCGCCUUUGGAUGGGCCCGCGUUGGAUUAGCUAGUUGGUAGGGUAAAAGCCUACCAAGGCGACGAUCCAUAGCUGGUCUGAGAGGAUGAUCAGCCACACUGGGACUGAGACACGGCCCAGACUCCUACGGGAGGGAGGAGUGGGGAAUAUUGGACCAUGGGCGAAAGCCUGAUGCAGCAAUGCCGCGUGAGUGAUGAAGGCCUUAGGGUUGUAAAGCUCUUUUACCCGGGAUGAUAAUGACGGUACCGGGAGAAUAAGCCCCGGCUAACUCCGUG
rnacentral:rRNA from 1 species